rnacentral:rRNA from 1 species
AGAGUUUGAUCCUGGCUCAGAUCGAACGCUGGCGGCGUGGCUAAAACAUGCAAGUCGAACGCGAACGUUCCCUUCGGGGAACAAGUAGAGCGGCGAAAGGGCGAGGAAUACAUGGGUAACGUGCCUCGAGCACGAGGACAGCCGGGGGAAACUCCGGUUAAUACUCGAUAAGACCACAGCACCGCAGGGUGCAGGGGUCAAAGGGUGGGGACCUUCGGGCCUGCCGGCUCGAGAGCGGCCCAUGUCCUAUCAGCUUGUUGGUGGGGUAACGGCCUACCAAGGCUACGACGGGUACCGGGACUGAGAGGUUGACCCGGCGCAUCGGGACUGAGACACUGCCCGGACUCCUACGGGAGGCUGCAGUAACGAAUAUUGGGCAAUGGGCGAAAGCCUGACCCAGCGACGCCGCGUGUGGGAAGAAUGCCUUCGGGUUGUAAACCACUGUCAGGGAUUACCAACCAACCGGUGUGAAUAGCGCCGGGAGUUGAGGAGUCCCAGAGGAAGUCACGGCUAACUUCGUGCCAGCAGCCGCGGUAAUACGAAGGUGGCUAGCGUUGUUCGGAAUCACUGGGCUUAAAGAGCACGUAGGCGGACGAUCAAGCGUCUUGUGAAAGCCCUCGGCUCAACCGGGGAAUUGCUUGGCGAACUGAUCAUCUUGAGGCAGGUAGGGGCGAGUGGAACUCUUGGUGGAGCGGUGGAAUGCUUAGAUAUCAAGAGGAACGCCAGAGGCGAAGGCGACUCGCUGGGCCUGACCUGACGCUGAGGUGCGAAAGCCAGGGGAGCGAACGGGAUUAGAUACCCCGGUAGUCCUGGCCCUAAACGAUGUCCACUAGG